ACUGAGUUUUACCGAAGAUUUUUGUUAAUUCUAUUUUUUUAUUGAAAUUUUCUAUGUUGAUAUAUUUAUUGGCUUUUAAUGGAUAUGUUUGAUUCACUAGAAAAAGAUUGAACUUUUGAUUGGAGAAAGAUUUUCUUUUAGAGAUUUGAUUUUAAAUUUCAAAGGACUUGAUUAUGAUGAAACUGUGCAUAGUUCUUUCUAUAGAUAAAUUGUAAGUUUAGCCAAGUCUAGUUAAUUGUGGUGUUUAACUAUCUGCUCAAAGCAACCGCGAGCGACCAGAGAGAAAGGACAUGUCUGCUCGAGGAGAUGGACUGACAGAUCAGUAGUUGAAGACUUAUUGUAUGGCUAUGAGGUCGUACUUUAAAGCUCCUUCCUUUGAUGUGGUAUUUGGGAAUAGUGAAGGCUGGCUACUAAGUUGCGGACAAUAUUGAGGAAUCAAGAUGUGUUUGAAGAUUAGACCUCCAUUCCCAUGGAGACACUACUUUCAAAACACACAUCGUCUCAUCUUUGUGGUUGAUAGAAAUGACAACGACCAUGUUGUUGAGGCAAGGGACAAGCUUCACAAGGUGUUAAAUGAGGUAAGUACUUUCUACUUUAUCAGCCCGGGUGCCUCAAGUGUACAUUUUGGAUCAUGCUAAAAAACUUCCAGUGGAGUAGGUUGUGGGGAUUGGGUACCCAUACACACUAACUUGUCAGCCACUGAUGAAUUAUACAGUGAAGUACAAGCACUCGCAAUCAUUAAUAAGAUGUGAGUAAAGCUCAUUUGGUGUUGUAAGCAUCUGUAUAACAUCUAAGAAGUCUCCUUCAAUUUGUAAUGACCUUAGGUGGUAAGACUUGGCAUAAAGUCCUUGCAGUAGAGCAUGCAUUUCAACAAUAGUUAUGGAUUCUUUUGGUAUUGUUCCAGCAAGUCGGGAAUCCAAUCACUCAAAGUUAAAUGUUUGUUCAGUCUAUUUUGUUAGUUCAAGCAGUCAUAUGUGAAUAAUUUUAUUCCUUUCUUCGAUUUUGUUAUUUCUUUAACUCUAGACCACUCA